rnacentral:lncRNA from 1 species
GUCGGAGGCCCGGGCUCUGCCACUACACACUGUGGUCCCCGGGGCCUAGGCUGGGCUGGGCACCAGGGGCUGCAGGAUUUUCUCUGGGGAUGUUCUCACACUGGCCUUGGCCCCUAGAGGAGGGAGGAGAGAAUGGAUCCCUCUCAUACAUCAAUUCAAGGACAACCGAUUUUUCUCUAAGAGGAAGACACCCACACGAAAACCGGAAGGCAGCCUUGAGUGUCGUGUGAUAAGUUUAUCGGCGCCAUCUCGCCAGCCACCCCCUCCCCAGGGUCUCGAUCAAUGGGACACAGUGCGCCUCCAGUCUGAGAGGCUUCCUUGGGUGGGUGGUGGGACUGCAAGGUGGCCCUUUGGCAGAGUCUACAAGAGCUAAAUUAGGUCGCCAAGUGGCCCAUUACCCACAUAAUCUAGCCCUACCUUCCAGAACAACUGAGAAAUGCCUCAGUGGGCAGAGCCUCAAGUCCACCAGAUAACAGGCCCCAACUUGACCUCUUGUCAUCAGAAAUCACUGCCAAGUUUCCAAGCCAGGGAAAGAGCAACAGUCGUGAGGCCUGUUCCACGCACCCACCUAUGAUCCUCUCGCUGGAGGCAGAGGUAAUAUCCUCUCCCUGGCAGAUCGAUGAUCAAUUACAGUGGGACCUUCAAUCCAGAUGGGGCUGGAGGAUCCUUUCUCAUGGUGAUUGCUACACUGAUCACAGAGGCCACCAGACCAAGAGGACACAGAGCUGCCCAUCCAGACAAGAUAAAACAGAAGCUGCCACUGCUCCCACGAGAGCCGCCUCCCACCGGAGCCUCUCCCCUUCCUCAGUGCACUCUUCACUGAGGAUUUAUUUGCUGGUGCUGUGGGGAGCCCAGGUCAGAUGCCCUGGCAGGACAGACUAAAUUCCUUCUAAAUUGAGGAAAGUGCCUCCUGUUGUGGAAGAAAAGGAAUAAGACCUUGGCUGGGCCCAGUGGCUCACGUCUGUAAUCCCAGCACUUUGGGAGGCUGAGGCGGGCUGGUCACUUGAGGCCAGGAGUUCGAGACCAGCCUGGCCAACAUGAUGAAACCCUGUCUCUACCAGAAAUAUAAAAAUUAGCCCAGCGUGGUGAUGGGUGCCUGUAGUCCCAGCUAGUCAAGAGGCUGAGGCAGGAGAAUCACUUGAACCUGGGAGGUGGAGGUUGCAGUGAGCUGAGAUCGUGCCACUGCACUCCAGCUUUGGCAACAGAGUAAGACUCUGUCUCAAAAAU